UAUUGGGUGUUACUUAAUAUGCUGAUAGAUUAAUGUGACAUUUUUUUUAAAAUUUUAUAUAUAAAUCAAUCAAAAGACUCUAUAUUAUAUAUGCGGACAUAUUAAUAAUAUCUAAAGAUAUUAUUAAUUGAGGACGUCAUUACAGUCUAGAAUAGAUUGUAGAGAGGGAAUGACGCCUUAAAGACACAGAUACUGGUGGUGGUAACAUGAUGGACUAUCUGUUAUUUUUAGAAAUCUAUCUACUGAUGCUAUUUUUACAGUCCAGUGUGUUUGAAAAUUGGUAACGGAAUGGGCAGAGUUCUGCCAAGCUGGGUGAUACCUCCAUCUUUUUAAGUAUUCGAUUUGACGAUGCACUUUUUUUAAAUCUUUUUAUAAUUCUUAUUUUAUCUUUCUUUUUAGAUCUUUUCUUUCGAUUUUUUUUUCUUUCUCUUGAGGCACUUGCUACCUCACUCCAUGUAGCUAAAUUUAUUGCCUAAAUAAAUAAAGCAGAUAGUGUGCUAUAUUUUUUACACAAAAAAAAUCUAAAGAUAAAAUCUACAAAGAUUUGU
rnacentral:lncRNA from 1 species